rnacentral:rRNA from 1 species
UACACUCCUGCGGGAGGCAGCAGUGGGGAAUAUUGGACAAUGGGCGCAAGCCUGAUCCAGCCAUGCCGCGUGAGUGAUGAAGGCCCUAGGGUUGUAAAGCUCUUUCACCGGUGAAGAUAAUGACGGUAACCGGAGAAGAAGCCCCGGCUAACUUCGUGCCAGCAGCCGCGGUAAUACGAAGGGGGCUAGCGUUGUUCGGAUUUACUGGGCGUAAAGCGCACGUAGGCGGACUAUUAAGUCAGGGGUGAAAUCCCGGGGCUCAACCCCGGAACUGCCUUUGAUACUGGUAGUCUUGAGUUCGAGAGAGGUGAGUUGAAUUCCGAGUGUAGAGGUGAAAUUCGUAGAUAUUCGGAGGAACACCAGUGGCGAAGGCGGCUCACUGGCUCGAUACUGACGCUGAGGUGCGAAAGCGUGGGGAGCAAACAGGAUUAGAUACCCCUGUAGUCCCAUG